UAACAAACACUAACCUAGUGUUUCUUCCAGGCAAGCCCCGGUGCAUUUGCCCCUUCCUUGUGUUUUAAAUGCUUUUUCACCUUAUCUGAUGCAUUAGGUGAUAGGAGUUGUGUGAUAAACAAUUGAUGCAUUACCAUUCCUUGGAAACUCCUUAAUCCCAGUUUUAUAAAAAGAACUGAUAAUGCUUAGCCCUGCUUAGAAACUGAAAAAUCAUUUGUUUUCAAAAAGAAUGAUUGUGGAACAUUGGUUAUGGGCCUUUCGUUUCAAACAUCAAAGCAAACUUAUGGUGAUGAUUCCACUUCGGCCGGAGUGGGUUCAUCAUUCGGAAAAGAGUACCCCUGUCGGGUACCAAAAAUGGGGAAAAUGUUUGAAUACAUCUAGACCAGACGCUGAGCGGACGUGGUCGCCCGUCUGUGUCGAUUAAGGACCGUUCGAUGUAGGCCUGUUGUGGUGGAGACCUUGCAACUAGCCACAUGCUCCGGUAAGCCUGAACCCGGCUAUUCCAUACGUGAAAAGACAACCGCGCACUGGGCGUGGGAGAUGGUGGGAGUAGCGUGUACCCUCCUGGCUAGAGGCUGGAUGGAGGAGUAAUGUGCUCCCGGGUAGCGCGGACCGGUUCACGUUGUGGAGGAUCUGUGGAAACGGUUAACAUAUGCAAGGAUUAAGUGCUACAUAUGUCGUGUGGUUAGGGAUCCCCAGCUGGGUAUAAUCGGUUCGAAUCGUCGUUCCUCCUCGGUCAUGGAGACUCUACCCUCCGACCACUCAUCGUAGUUGACAAGUGAAAUAUGAAUUGGCUAAAAGAAAGCUAGACCAGGACAAGUGGAUGCUCUAGAUUAGGCAUAUCUAGAUUCAGGAAAAAUACUAAACUUGUGAAGUAAAAUUUUGGCAUAAGGAUUUACUACUAGUAAGCUCUUCUGCAAAACAGAGUCUUUGAUUCUUGAUAAGCCACACUUUGAAUCCCUCUAGCCAGCAUACCCUUGAGAGUCUUUUCUUUAGUCGGGUAAGUCUUGCUGAGUAAUUCCAUACUCAGGGUUUUAUUCCCUGUUGUUUUUCAGGUUAUAGUUUUGUGCUGCUGUUGAUGGUGUUAAGUGCCGGUGGGCUCGGCCUUCUUAUAAGUCUAAGUAAUUCUUCUAUACUUCUUAUUGAGGAUGGUCACAUGAGCUAGCAUAUAUUUCAAACUUACAAAUAAUUUAUAACAUCUCAAAGUUAUUCCUUUGAACCACUUUUGUAAUCACUCCGAUAAAUACAAUGUAAACUUGUUGUAACUUGUAAAAUUUGGUAAUAAG
rnacentral:lncRNA from 1 species